GUAGGUGGCAAGCGUUGUCCGGAAUUAUUGGGGCGUAAAGCGCGCGCAGGCGGUUCUUUAAGUCUGAUGUGAAAGCCCACGGGCUCAACCGUGGAGGGUCAUUGGAAGCUGGAGAACUUGAGUACAGAAGAGGAAAGCGGAAUUCCACGUGUAGCGGUGAAAUGCGUAGAGAUGUGGAGGAACACCAGUGGCGAAGGCGGCUUUCUGGUCUGUAACUGACGCUGAGGCGCGAAAGCGUGGGGAGCAAACAGGAUUAGAUACCCUGGUAGUCCACGCCGUAAACGAUGAGUGCUAAGUGUUAGGGGGUUUCCGCCCCUUAGUGCUGCAGCUAACGCAUUAAGCACUCCGCCUGGGGAGUACGGCCGCAAGGCUG
rnacentral:rRNA from 1 species